CCUACGGGAGGCAGCAGUAAGGAAUAUUGGUCAAUGGACGAAAGUCUGAACCAGCCAUGCCGCGUGAAGGAUGACGGCCCUCUGGGUUGUAAACUUCUUUUAUAGGGGACGAAAAAAGGGUAUUCUUACUCACUUGACGGUACCCUAGGAAUAAGCACCGGCUAACUCCGUGCCAGCAGCCGCGGUAAUACGGAGGGUGCAAGCGUUAUCCGGAUUCACUGGGUUUAAAGGGUGCGUAGGUGGGUCUAUAAGUCAGUGGUGAAAUCUCCGAGCUUAACUCGGAAACUGCCAUUGAUACUAUAGGCCUUGAAUUAUCUGGAGGUAAGCGGAAUAUGUCAUGUAGCGGUGAAAUGCUUAGAUAUGACAUAGAACACCAAUUGCGAAGGCAGCUUACUACGGAUAUAUUGACACUGAGGCACGAAAGCGUGGGGAUCAAACAGGAUUAGAUACCCUGGUAGUCCACGCCCUAAACUAUGGAUACUCGACAUCAGCGAUACACUGUUGGUGUCUGAGCGAAAGCAUUAAGUAUCCCACCUGGGAAGUACGACCGCAAGGUUGAAAACUCAAAAGGAAAUUGACGGCNGAGAGNGCGAGACGACACGAGGAGGAGG
rnacentral:rRNA from 1 species